rnacentral:rRNA from 1 species
UUCCGUCACAAAGGGCGCUGUGCUGGCGUUUACCCGUGCGCUGGCGAAGGAAGUGGGGCCGUCCGGCAUCCGGGUGAAUGCGGUCUCGCCGGGGACGAUCGCCACGGAUAUGGUCGCCCAUCUGCCCCAGGAGACCCUGGACGAACUGGCAGAGGAAACACCUCUGGGACGGCUGGGAAAACCGGAGGAUGUGGCGGAUGCGGUGCGCUUUCUGGUGUCCGACCGGGCGGCGUAUAUCACCGGACAGGAUAUCCCGGUGAACGGCGGUUUCUGGUGCGGUUGACAGGCGGCAGAGAAAGUGUCGAUUUGCACCCAAAUACGGGAAAUUUGUCCUCUGCAACUUGCACAAAACCGUGUUUUGCCGCUGACUUUUUUCGAUGGAAUGUACAAAUUCCGUGAAAAUUAGGUGAGUUUUUGAUGAGAGCGCUUGCAGAAACCGCAAAUUUAUGUUAUAGUAAUGUAAUGUCGAGGCAGGGGAAACCACUGCCUUUUCGCAAUUCGUUUCGAAACAAAGGUGAUAAUUGAGACAUGAAAGAACAUAUGACAUGGCAUAACUGCUUUUCUUCCGUUCGGGCGUGGUUCUGCUCUGUGCAUGAGAAACGUUCGUAUAAUACGCUGCGCUAUCCUAUGACCAACCGGCUGCUGCUGAUCCUGUAUCCGAUCUUCAUUGUGUGCAUGGCGGAGCUGAACCAGGACAAAUACCCCAGCAAGCUGGUAUUGUUCAUCACCGAUCAUCCCACCAUCAUGCUGUUUAACGUGCUGAUUGCCGGGCUGAUCUUUGUGGGAGCGCUACUGCUGUUCCGCUCCGGGUGGUUCUCCAUGCUGCUGGAGAGCAUCCUGUACAUGGCGCUGAGUAUCACGGAGCUAUUCAAGUAUAACACCAACGGCAACCAUCUGAUUAUGACGGACAUGAAGCUGUUCCGCAGCGUAAAGAGUCUGACCUCGUUCGCCUACAUCAAGAUCACGCCCAGGUUGGUCUUGUUAAGGUCCCCAAAUAACAGUUAAGUUGAACUAACGAAGUCGGACUGCAGAGACAGCUAGGAUGUUGGCUUGGAAGCAGCCAUUCAUUUAAAGAGUGCGUAACAGCUCACUAGUCGAGGAGUCCGGCGUGGAUAAUACUCGGGCAUAAACUGUUUACCGAAGCUAUGGAUGUAGAAAUACAUGGUAGGGGAGCAUUCCAACGGCGUCGAAGGUGAAGGAUGACCUUUGCUGGAGCUUUUGGAAACGCAAAUGUAGGUAUAAGUAACGAUAAAGGAGGUGAGAAACCUCCUCGCCGAAAGACUAAGGUUUCCUGAUCAACGUUAAUCGGAUCAGGGUAAGUCGGGACCUAAGGUUAAGCCGAACGGCGAUACCGAUGGAAGAAUGGUUUAAUAUUCCCAUACUACUUUAUGGAGCGAUGUGGAGACGGAGAAGUGAAAGUCCUGCCAUCUGACGGAAUAGGUGGUUGAAGAGUGUAGAUGUAGAUUCCUGUAGGCAAAUCCGCAGGGAGAGUCGACCUUGAUAGUAUGCCGCGUGCUUGCACAAGGCAAAAUGGACGUAAUCAGGCUCCCAAGAAAAUCCGCUAAGCAUAUUCAUAAAGUACCCGUACCGUAAACGGACACACGUAGUUGGGUUGAAAAUACUGAGGCGCUCGAGUGAUUCACGGUUAAGGAACUAGGCAAAUUGACCCUGUAACUUCGGGAUAAAGGGUCCCUACUGAGAGGUAGGGCGCAGAGAAUAGGUCCAGGCAACUGUUUAACAAAAACACAUGGCUGUGCGAAAUAGAAAUAUGAAGUAUACAGCCUGACACCUGCCCGGUGCUGGAAGGUUAAGAGGAGAGCUCAUCGCAAGAGAAGGCUUGAAUUGAAGCCCCAGUAAACGGCGGCCGUAACUAUAACGGUCCUAAGGUAGCGAAAUUCCUUGUCGGGUAAGUUCCGACCUGCACGAAUGGUGUAAUGAUCUGGACGCUGUCUCAACCGUGAGCUCAGUGAAAUUGUAGUAUCGGUGAAGAUGCCGAUUACCCGCGAUGGGACGAAAAGACCCCGUGAACCUUUACUAUAGCUUUACAUUGAAUUUGGGCAAUCGAUGUGUAGGAUAGGCCGGAGACCGUGAAGCAGGUACGCCAGUAUUUGUGGAGUCGCCGUUGAAAUACGGCCCUUUGGUUGUUUGAGUUCUAACCCGCAGAUAACAUCGCACGGCACCAUCCCCGUCGUCCGUCUCAUUUCUUUCCGCCCGAUAGACCCCAAAUACCGCGUCAUCAUGAAGGAUCGGCUCUCCAGUUUCCGCGUCAAGCUUCUCAAUUCUCAGAUUUGAGAAAUACUUUCGAUUCAAAAAUGUCUUUUCCCCAUAACCGGCCCAGACUGUAUCCUCCUUCUCCUCAUUCGGAUCCACAAUGCUCCAUGGAACAAGCAUCGGCGCAUAUUCCCCGUCAUAGGCAGUCUUUAUGCCUGUCAUCAUCUCCUUUCCAUCUUUCUUCGCUCCAUUUUCACUAUCUGACUGGUAAUGAUAGUACUGCUUUACCUUCUCAUUCCCGUAAGGCUCGUAAUGCCCUGCUCUCUUUUUCUCAGAAAGUCCAUACGGAUAGACUUCAAAAUCCCCAUCAUUGCUGUGGGCACAUAUCACAUACUCCCGAAGUUCCUGUUUCUGAUUUUCCGCCGACUCCUCGUU